rnacentral:rRNA from 1 species
ACUACGGGUGGCUGCAGUGGGGAAUAUUGCACAAUGGGGGAAACCCUGAUGUAGCGACGCCGCGUGAGCGAUGAAGGCUUUCGGUAUGUAAAGCUCUAUCAGCAGGGACGAAGCUGACGGUACCUGCCUAAGAAGCCCCGGCUAACUACGUCACAGCAGCCGCGGUAAUACGUAGGGGGCAGGCGUUAUCCGGAUUUACUGGGUGUAAAGGGAGCGGAGACGGCGAUGCAAGCCAGAUGUGAAAGCCCGGGGCUCAACCGCGGGACUGCAUUUGGAACUGUGUGGCUGGAGUGUCGGAGAGGCAGGCGGAAUUCCUAGUGUAGCGGUGAAAUGCGUAGAUAUUAGGAGGAACACCAGUGGCGAAGGCGGCCUGCUGGACGAUGACUGACGUUGAGGCGCGAAAGCGUGGGGAGCAAACAGGAUUAGAUACCCCAGUAGUC